rnacentral:misc_RNA from 1 species
GAUGAAAAGCACUUUGGAAAGAGAGUUAAAAAGCACGUGAAAUUGUUGAAAGGGAAGCGCUUGCAACCAGACUUGUUGGCGGUGUUCCGCCGGUCUUCUGACCGGUCCACUCACCGUCUGCAGGCCAGCAUCAUCUGGGGCCGCCGGAUAAAAGCUUAGGGAAUGUGGCUCCCCCGGGAGUGUUAUAGCCCUUUGUGCAAUACGGCGAGCCUCGGGUGAGGUCCGCGCUUCGGCUAGGAUGCUGGCGUAAUGGUUGUAAGCGGCCCGUCUUGAAACACGGACCAAGGAGUCUAACAUCUAUGCGAGUGUUCGGGUGUCAAACCCCUACGCGUAAUGAAAGUGAACGGAGGUGGGAACCUUUGGGUGCACCAUCGACCGAUCCUGAUGUCUUCGGAUGGAUUUGAGUAAGAGCAUAGCUGUUGGGACCCGAAAGAUGGUGAACUAUGCCUGGAUAGGGUGAAGCCAGAGGAAACUCUGGUGGAGGCUCGCAGCGGUUCUGACGUGCAAAUCGAUCGUCAAAUUUGGGUAUAGGGGCGAAAGACUAAUCGAACCAUCAACUCUCUCGUUGCAGAGGAACUUGGGCAGUAAAAGCCUUUCUACUAGGUGGUUCAGAGGGACGGCAAAAUCGGUCCCUAGUCCUCCAUGGGGAGGGCGACACUAUCAAAUUGCGGGAACUCCUUGCAAAACCGUUCGCUACCAAGCGGCCCCCGAAAGGGGCGCCGUGGCCGGGGUAAUGACCUAGGGUAUGGUAACAACGCGGCGGUCAUCGAGGUAAUCCGCAGCCAAGUCCUAAGGCGCCCUCACACCGGGGGCGGUAUGGAUGCAGUUCAACGACUAGAUGGUAGU